rnacentral:rRNA from 1 species
GGACGGGGCCCGCACAAGCGGUGGAGCACGUGGUUUAAUUCGAUGCAAACCGAAGAACCUUUACCUGGGUUUUGACAUGUGCGUGUUACUGAGGUGAAAGCCGAGGGACCAUAUCUUCGGAUGUGGAGCGUACACAGGUGCUGCAUGGCUGUCGUCAGCUCAUGUCGUGAGAUGUUGGGUUAAGUCCCGCAACGAGCGCAACCCUUGUCAUUAGUUGCUACGAAAGGGCACUCUAAUGAGACUGCCGGUGACAAACCCGGAGGAAGGUGGGGAUGACGUCAAGUCCUCAUGGCCCUUAUGGGUAGGGCUUCACACGUCAUACAAUGGUACAUACAGAGGGCCGCCAACCCGCGAGGGGGAGCUAAUUCCAGAAAGUGUAUCGUAGUCCGGAUUGGAGUCUGCAACUCGACUCCAUGAAGUUGGAAUCGCUAGUAAUCGCGGAUCAGCAUGUCGCGGUGAAUACGUUCCCGGGUCUU